GUAACCAAAGGGGGGUUGCAAGGGGAGGUGCUUUGUAAACUAUUGUUUGAAGAUUGUCAAUAAAAGGCAGCGAGAGGAGGCCACCAUUGGGGUCAUUGUCGUGCUGGACACAGACGAGGCCUCCCUUGCGCAAGUAAUGGAUCGAUCGACUGUCUUGUUUUCUUCAAACCCCGCUAGAAUUAGCGGGGCUUGUGGAAACACAGACCCAACAUUUAUUUGGUCCUUCGGAGCCGGAGCCUAACACAUUGCAUCCACCGAGGAGAGGGAGAGGACGCCACCGCAACGUCUGGGAUGAUUGACGUAAAGCCCUGGUGUUUUUGGCUUGCCACCAGGCCGGGAAGUUUGCUCCUGACCUCCCCUCGGGAUGGAUGACGAUUGACGGGAUCCAGAGGCUCUUCCCAUGAACGUAAACAAACAGUGAGUACAGAAGGCCUUAGAGAGCGGCUACGGGCUGUGCGUUAAACGUGAGUCCGGGAGCGCGCUAGCCGCGUGAGAGAGACGCAGGCUUCUCCGCCAUUUGGGGCGUAGAGAGUUCUCCGCCAUUUGGGGCGUGGAGAUAACCUAGGUUCGGCGUCUCCGCCGUGAAGGAGUCCGGAAUCUCCGCCAUUUGGGGCGUUAGAGAGUGUCUGAAGGUUGAAUUCUCCGCCAUAUGGGGCGUUUGAGAGUUUUCAACAGAGAGCGCUAGCUGUGCGUGCAGACGCAAGCGAUAGGCCUAUGUUGUGUGUGUGUGUGGGCCAGACGUGGUCUGCGUGAGUGUGGCUGAUUGUUAAUGGAGAAUAAAAUGUGUAAGUCUGCCUUAGAAGGAGAUUUAAAAUUUAUGGAGAAAUUUACUGCGGUCAAUACGCAGUAUGUAGGUUGUUGGCGUAAGAAAUGUGGAUUUGAAGGGACAUUAGUGGAAGUUCAGUGUAAAAUGCUGGUAGAAAGAAUAGCUGUAAGUGUAGCUGGUAAAACAGGUAAAGCGAAGCAGAGGAAGGAAUUGCAGUUAGCAAUUGCUAAGUUGUGGCUGGAGCAGGUUCAGAAGAGGAGAGAAGCAAGAAUGUUAGCAGAAAGUAGAGCCAGAGAAGAGCGUGAGAGAGCAGAGGCUGAGUAUGGAGAGACAUUGGGAGAAGCAUUGAGUCCAAGACAGACUGGGCAGGGUAGGAAACAGAAAGUAAAGUUAGUGAACACAAACGUUACAACUACAUAUCCAUCCCUGACACAAAACAAACAAACAAACAAAAAAAACAUAUGGUGUUUCUGUCCCAGAGUGUGAAGAUGAAGAAAGUUUUUCUCCUGAUCCAGUCCGUGAGUGUGUCUGACGUCAUGGUGUGUGUGAAAGGUAUCCAGCUGGGGCAGACGUGAUUCUGCAGGUCACCUGCCCAGUGGACAAAAAGAAAUAAAAUAGUUGUGUGGAUGAAUGAUAGCACGAAGAGUGUUUGGUGUUUCUCAGUCUGAAACAGCUGUAAUGCUAUUUUCUGUUUUGGAGAAAAGUACAGUUAAAGAAAAAAAAACAGAGAGAGAUGUGUGUUGUUUUAAGCAGUGAUGAGAAUAAUGAAAGUGUGAUGAGAGAAGAACACAAAAACAUACUGAAAAUGCAUUAACUAUACUAACCCUACAUGCAUUUACACAUAAAUGAUACUCAUGAAGACCAGACAGCAUCUUAAGCAUGAGAUUCUGUUUGUCAUCUUGUCCAAGUCACUAGUAAGAUGAAAGUGAUACAUAGACUAGUGGACUGAAUAUUAUAGGAGGACAGAUGGUUGCAUCAUAGAGGAGAAAACAGAAUGCUGAUGAGAGGUCUUAAAUGAGUGAGCUGAGUGAGCUGAUUGUGAGUUUCUGGUGUGUGAAGAAGUUUUACCAUGGCACACAUUUAGUUACAUGAGAACUAAAACUUAUUAUGUGCUAAGACAACAGGGGUAUGUUGUGUGUAUGGCUGAUUGGAUGAAUGUUUGAGAUUAAACUGGCUGUUUGAUUUGUCUUUUGUUAUUUAAGUUGAGCCUGCCAAUUGGGUUGUGACGAUUUAUCCCCCUGGCAUGAAGAACACGUGUCAUGACUUAAACAAGGCCUUUCUUUCCUUUGAUUUCCUUUAUUUUCUUUCUUUUAUUUUGUUACUUUCAUGGUGCACUGAAAGUUUUGUUUGAUGAUCUCUGUUUGAGCACGAUCAGAAUCGAAGCGUCGUCGAGAAAACUGUUGCAAAGUGAGCUUCUCCAAAAUUAAAAUGGGCUCAGGAGAAAUCCACUUAUUUGAGACAAGUUCCUGUCCAAAAGGAUUCAGCGAGAAAAUCCAGUCUAAAUUAUUUUUCUUUUUGAAAUGACGUUGUUUUGCUGAGCGUGGAAACGAAUGCGACGAUAAUUUCCACAAUUAGCAAAAGAAGGAAUCACUGAGUGAAUGAGUAAGAGUUUUAAAAUAAAUGGGAAACUGACUGACUGACAAAAGCUGACAAGACUGACUGACUUAAC
ensembl:lncRNA